GAGUAAGUCCUAUACAACGUUCAGUUACCCAACCAUGUCAGGUCCGGAAGGAAGCAGCAUCCGGUAAUAUGAACGUGUGAUAUAGCAAGCUUACUCUCU
rnacentral:SRP_RNA from 1 species